GAUGAACGCUGGCGGCGUGCCUAAUACAUGCAAGUCGAGCGAACGGACGAGAAGCUUGCUUCUCUGAUGUUAGCGGCGGACGGGUGAGUAACACGUGGAUAACCUACCUAUAAGACUGGGAUAACUUCGUGAAACCAGAGCUAAUACCGGAUAAUAUUUUCAACCGCAUGGUUCAAAAGUGAAAGACGGUCUUGCUGUCACUUAUAGAUGGAUCCGCGCUGCAUUAGCUAGUUGGUAAGGUAACGGCUUACCAAGGCAACGAUGCAUAGCCGACCUGAGAGGGUGAUCGGCCACACUGGAACUGAGACACGGUCCAGACUCCUACGGGAGGCAGCAGUAGGGAAUAUUGCGCAAUGGGCGCAAGCCUGACGGAGCCACGCCGCGUGAGUGAUGAAGGUCUUCGGAUCGUAAAACUCUGUUAUUAGGGAAGAAAAUAUGUGUAAGUAACUGUGCACAUCCUGACGGUACCUAAUCAGAAAGCAACGGCUAACUACGUG
rnacentral:rRNA from 1 species